rnacentral:misc_RNA from 1 species
UUGAUUGCGAAUCGUUGCCUUCAGUGCUGGCCCGGCUUCGGCUUUGGCAAGUGCACGCUGGUGACUUUCAUCCAAUACCCUGUGAACCUUUGGCCUCUUGCUAGCUUCGGCCGGCAGAGGAUUUUACACACACUCGAAUGUAAUGAAAUUUAUUGUCGUGCGCAAGCACUAAUGUA